ACGAGAGGACCGGGACGGACGCAGCUCUCGUGUGCCAGUUGUCCUGCCAAGGGCACGGCUGGUUAGCGACCUGCGGGUGGGAUAAGCGCUGAAAGCAUCUAAGCGCGAAGCUCGUUCCUAGAUGAGGUUUCCCACAGCACAAGCUGGUAAGGCCCGUGGCCAGAUGACCACGUUGAUAGGCCGGAGGUGUACGUACCGCAAGGUACUUAGCCGACCGGUACUAAUCGGCCGAGGGCUUGGAGAU
rnacentral:rRNA from 1 species